rnacentral:rRNA from 1 species
AACUUUUAACAAUGGAUCUCUAGGCUCUCACAUCGAUGAAGAACACAGUGAAAUGUGAUAAGUAAUGUGAAUUGCAGAAUUCAGCGAAUCAUUGAAUCUUUGAACGCACCUUGCACCUUUUGGUAUUCCAAGAGGUACACCUGUUUGAGUGUCAU